GACUUGGGCUUUGCUUUUAUUAUCGUCGCUGUAAUGUUUUCGAGAAGGAAAAGGCACUUGUUGUUAUGAUUGCUGUUGGCUAUACACUGACUGCCGUCUAUAUUCUUCGACUUAAAUAAGCUAACAUGAAUAUUUCUGGGUAAACACAAGUGCCCAAAACGCUGACCAGAGGUCUGCAUAGUCUCCGCUGCCAUCAACGCCAACGAACGGUUAAGCGCGACAUCAACACUUCUCCGCUGCGCCGCGGCCGACGCCCGCUGCGCCGCUGCCGACGACUUCACUUGAUUGCUAGGGACUGUGGGAAACAUUUUGUACACUAGUUUUAGUUUCAAAUGAUAAAUUGCAAUAAACGGUCGCUUGCGAUCUUCAAAAUCAAAUCAAUAAACUGUAAUUAUUAACUGGCGCCCGAACAGGGACCAGCGAAUAAACGCGAACGAAAGACAAAAUUCUAAGUCGCGGAGCAAAAUCAAAAUUUUGCUAAAAAAUAUUCGUUGGUUAAAUUGUGCCGAAGAAACUCCCGCGAGUUAUUAACAAACAAAAUUCACGGUCGGCUAUUAAAUAAAAUUGUUUGAAAAAAACAGAUUUUCCGGAAGAGGAAAAUACUUAUCGGCAUAGCAUUGCCCAUUGGUGGAUCACAUUUUCUGUCAGGCCAGCCCGCAGAAAACCUUCUUUGGAGUGCUGACGUGGAUUCCCCAGUAGCCCAGGCAAAAAGGACAACAUUCACCCAGCCAGGAGGAGUGACCGCAACAACUCUAUGUUAAAUAAAUGCAAAACGAAGAACAGCAAUUUCAUCGAAAAGGAGAAGGAAAAGUAGAAGUAGAACGCCGAGAACUAACGGAACUACAGAAGAGCAACACGGAUAACAGUUAACAGUGCAACCCAAAACGUAACGGCAGAGAUAAAGACGACGAACGGCAGAGAACGGCUGCGUGAACCAAAGCGCAGACAAG